GCCAUGUCAUCGCCUUCGAAUCUACCACCCUUAGAAUUAAUUAAGAGACAGGUGAGAGAGUGGAAUGCCAUUGCGAGGGAUGCUCGUUGAAGGUACUUAGCCCAUGAAAGAAAAAGAGCUAGAUGGGCUUGCGCAUCCACUUCUCAUGGGGCUCCGCCUCCUUUGCCUCCUACAACCAAUCUUCUCCAUCAGCUUGAGCACAUCCUGCCUACAGUCCGGGAGUGCUCCAUUGUGGAG
rnacentral:lncRNA from 1 species